CUAGUAUAAUCCAGAUAUACUAGCCUUCCGCAUAGCUGAUUCUAUUACAUAUUGACAAGUACCCGUAUAAUAAAGAUUUACUAGCCUUCUGCAUCGCAUAUUCUAUUACAUAUU